CCCAACCUCCACCUCCUGACUGACCCCAGUGCUUCCCAAUGUGGCCCUACAUGCCUCCUAUGUCUAGGGGUCUUGCCCAGCAGGCACCGUGGAGAUGGGGGCAGAUGUCUGGAAGCAGAGAAGGUGCCGAGUGGAAAGCAGGGGAUGAAGGCUACUUUCCUCCUGGGCAGCCGCCGGCGGGACCAGGCAGGCUUUUCUCUCUCGCCCAGGGUGCGGUGUAGAGCCUCCACUGGACUCCACCACGGGGAGGAAGACCGAGGCUACCCAGCCUCCUGGCUGCUGGCCAUGGCUCUAGCCCACCCUUGCCUGUGUGUCAAGA
rnacentral:lncRNA from 1 species